AAGGAUUAGCAUGUAGCAGGGCAACAUGAUUUGAACCAUGACCAAUAUCAUAACCGAAAAUCAUCCAUGUUAACAUUUUAGGAAAAACCAGUUGAAACACUCAAGAAAAUAGAAAAGAAUCUCACAGUUUUUCAUGAGCCUGCUAGUACUGACUCCUAACCUCCAUAGAAGCCUCAAUCCAAUCCAAACCUUAGGCCUAUAAAUC
rnacentral:lncRNA from 1 species